UAUGAUAGACCUUCAUAAUCUAUUGCCCUUAGUAUUCAAAGUGUGGUUGGUAGAAUGGUAGAAACUUAUGUCUACUCGUAUAUUUCUAGUAGCUAGUCCAAAUAGAUGUUGGUUUAUCAAGGUUCCAUAAAAACAUGAUGCAAACACUGCACUAGGAUCAAUUUAUUUCUUCCAUCAGCAAUUCAUCAUUGGCUAGCACACCAUAAAGACUUGGUAAAAAAGUACAAAUACAGAGACACGCAUAUGCGCGAGAUCUAUUAAGCAGUGACAGCUAUCUUCAUGCCUUGCUGACAGUGACCUGGAAGGCUGCAGAUGAAGAAUGCUUUGCCUCCGUGGACGAGCUGGAUGUGGUCAUUGCCGGAGGUGUAGGUCCUCGACGGGCCCGAGACCCUGCAUGAGUUGUAGUCGCCUUCUUCCACCUGCACCACGUUGUGCAUACUAGGGUUGUACUUGAAAACUGCAUGCAUUAGUUAACACAAGAAUACAGAUCAGAACAUAAUAUAUGCAUCAAGAACAACCAAUCACUUGAUCUUUAGAGUUCUCACCAAGCACGUCGCCGGACUGGAUGUGCUUGCCACUCUCCCAUCCGGAGACGCCGAAGCUCCAUCCCUUGUUGUCACCAACGGUCCACUCCUUGCCAUAGACGACGGCGGUUGCGCAACAAACGACCAGAAGCAGCAACCAAAGGGUGGGUACGAUGGUUCCCCGUGCCAUCGUUGGUGUUGCUCUUGACUUCUUGUCGCUACCGAAGAUCACAAGAACAACAAAAUGAAACAGUGGUCGGUUCCUCAAGUGAUUGCUUGCGUUCACUCUCCUCGUAUCAUAUAUAUAGCUGGUCAGCUAAAAUCAUUGUUUUAAUGUGCUGAAAUAAUGAGAAUCUUGGUUUAAAUGAGACAAAUCAACAAUUGUGAUUUGCAACAUUAAUUAGUAUAUGCUACCAAAUCCUCCAACUUAUACAAUCCGAUGUAGUAUUAAUGGAAAUUAACGAGCAUGCAUUUAUUUUCCUACUCUCAAGAUUUAGUAAAUAUUUCUUUUUCGUGGAUGCAUUAGUUGUAUAUCAUAUAUUUAUAUAUACUUGUAUUAGAUGACAUAUUUGUAAUAGGAAAAUUCGAAAAUAAAAAAAUAUUUUUAAUAAGGACAAGUCCCUAAUCUUGACUUUUCGACCAUAGCUGCUAAAGCAUGAACGGAGGCCAUGAUUUGGGAUUGUCUAGUCACAAAUCAUCUAAAAUUGAUAGGGAUAUUUUCAAUAAAUGGAGUUCAAAUAAAUUUCACAAGUCAGAAAAUUUAAUGCAUUGGGUCAAUAUAAGAAUUUUAGACUAGGUUAAUUUGGUAUAAUUCAAAAAGAAAAGUGGCCACGAUUGGUCAACGAGGUAGUAAACCCGAGGAAAUUCGGAAGGAACAAAUUGAGAGGAAAAUUUGUGAGACUUACCAAGAACUUGUCGCCACUUGAGUCGACGGAGAUAAUGACCUCAAGGACGCCCCCCCUGAAAACUCCACGACUACUCCAGACCGACAAAAUUAGCCCUAAACUAGCCAUCCUGGUACAAACUGGAAUGACGUGCACGAAAGGGGGUGGAGUUGUGCCCUCUAUACUUCGCUCACUAGACGAACGGAGUGGAUGGAACAAAGGCAGGAGAGACAGAAGAGAGUCGAAGAAUGAGAGGAUUGUGAAUUUUCCUUUUCCUAUUUAGAAAGUAGCACUAGUCGCUAUGGUCUGUCACAUGGGCAUGUAUGUGUUUUUCGCAGUUCACCCUACUAUUACCAUUUCUUAUAAAACAUAAUGUACAUAAUUCCAUAAAAAUGUUUAUAUUUGGAUCCUUUUUGUAUAUAGAAACCAUUGAUGGUGUGGUAUAAGGUAAUUGUCAUUUUUUAAAUAUAUGUGUGCACACACACGUUUGUUCUGGUAAAAUGUAUAAGUACGAUGUACAAAUGUAGUAAGCAAAAAAAAAGAAAAGAAUUGUUGUGGAGAUUGCUUUGGAGACCUCUUGAACAUCACUAGUGUCCCGUUGAGAUGAAUAGUAGAGUUCAACAUAAAAAGAAACAAGUGUGAUUUUAAAAUCAUGGUCACAUGUAAUUAGCGUAAACUGAAAUAGUGGCGACAAAGCACUAAAGCAAAGCUUAUCGAAUGAAUAUCCAAGUGUGUUUCGUCUGUCCUUUGCUUUUGACACUUUGUUUUGUCUCAAACUGUAUUUGAAUUAGCAUGAGCAUUUUAUAAUAUAUACUGUCAGUAGAGUGCCUCUACUGAAGAACCGAACUUGACAAUCGAGGCUAUAUAGAAGAUAAAACAUGUCCCGUCGGGCGCGCCUAUAUCUCGCCUUCAGUGAGUCUGGUUUCGGACUCGCUGAAGGGUGAGCAAGCUGGGCUGGCCCACAAGUGCGGGAGGCCAUUACUUUUUUUCUUCCUUUUUUUACAUUUUCUGUUUUCUUUCUUACUUUUCUUUUUUUGUACUUUUGUUUAUACUGUAAAAUAUUAUAGAAAUAUAUAUAUUACAAAAAACACUCUACAUUUUUUGGAAAAUAUUUAAUAAGUAUUUGAAAAUAUUGAAGCGUAUUAAAAAAAUGUUGAACAAGUAUUUAAAAAAAUGUUGAUCAAGUAUUUGAAAACUGUUCAACAAUAUUUGAAAACUGUUCAACAAGUAUUUGAAAAAAAAUGUUGAGCAUGUAUGAAAAACAUUUUGAACAAACAUUUGAAAAAUAUUGAAUAAGUAUUUUAAAAAUGUUUAUCAAGUAUUUGAAAAAAUACUAAACAAAUAUUUGAAAAACUGUUGAUAAUGUAUAUAGAAAAUGUUGAAGAAGUAUUUGAAAAAUGUUGAACAACAAUUUGAAAAAAUGUUGAUCAUGUAUAUAAAAAUGUAGAAUGAAAAGCAAAAAGAAACAAAAGGAAAAACCAAAAAAUGAAAACAGAAAAAGAAACAAAAUAAACCAAAGAAAUAGGAAAUGAAAAAAACCUGAACAAACAAAUGGAAAACCCCGGAGAAAAAAAACACUUGUACAGAAAAUAAUGAAGAAACAAAAGAAAAAAAAUGAAAAAAUGGAGAAGAGUAGAGAAAAGAAAAGAAAAGAAAGAAAAUGAAAAAAAAAGGAGAAAAUCAGCACGUCUUGCUUCAAGUAGGCCAUGUCCUUUAUGUUAUCUCAAAUUGUUGGGCAGGCAGACACACUGGCUAGUCGCGCUUCCUAUGUUCGCGGCGAUCCCUGGUGCUCCCCUUUUCCCUUCUAUUUUUCUUUAGACUCUACGUGAAAAUGGACUAGCCCAGUAACGACCACGACCAAGAAAACUUCAAUGCGAGACUUAGUCCAAGGACACGCUUAAUGCAAUAGAAUGUUGCAACCGAUUCAAAACGCCAAGAAAUCCAGAGGUCGACUGAUUUUGGGGAGACAACAAGACGGUCAGAAAUUGGCCUAAUGCAUUUCGGUUAGCGCAACAAAUCAUUGCCUUGGCUAGGCCCGUCCUGCUAGUACUCUGUUGAAGGUACAAACUAUUCCAUUUCUGUGUCUAAUAAAACUAUUCCAUUUUCCACAAAGUUCCACGCUUCCAAAUAAAAAUAAAUGACACUGCAGUACUCUACUGAAGGGGUACCCUAUUAUAUUGCAUCAUAUAAUAUUUGUCCUGUUGUCGAUCCCGGCAGUACAUAAGACAUGCAUGAUUCACUCAGAGUUCUAGCGCACCUGCAAGUUCCACCCGGAAAUGGUAAAACCGCAUAGCACCUGAAAAUGAUUUCUUUGGUGGUGAUGAGCACGCAAGUGCUCGAGUUCGUGUUUUUCUGGAUAGGACUUGGUCCACGACAUAGCACAUGUUCUGUUGUAUUUUUUUGGUUCAUACUUAAUCGAUGUGGUGGUUUUUGGAUGAACUAGAUGCAUGUUUUAAUUUGAAUUAUUUGAUUGGAUGAACUAUAUGUAUGUUUAUGGUUGUUUUGUUGUGUACGUUGAAUUUAAAUCAUGCAAAUGAUUGAUGAAAUACCAUGCAAUUGUUUGAAAUGGAUGUUAAAAAGGAUAGAAGAAUUUGUCAAAAAGAUUUUAGGGAGUUAAAUAUAGGGUUUGGUUAGGUUUGGCCACAAUUUAACUCCUUAAAUAUGAAGGAGUUAAGUUUAGAAAGGCAUAUAAGGAGAUACUUCCUAUGUUACUUUUUAUAAGGUGUAUUUGUUUUUUGAUAAAAUUCCACAAUGUAAGAUGCAUUUCUUCUAAUUCAUCAGAAAUUCUGUUUUCAGCCCUCUAGAAAAAAGGAUAGUAUCUCUCCCCUCAUUGCAUGUAUCUCUCCUUGUAAAAAAGGAAAGUAUCUCUCUCCCGAUUGCCUGUAUCUCUUAUUUUUCUAGCCUAAAUGAUUUACUUACCACUAAUCAAUGAUUUAGCCAAGGUUAAUUUUUUUCUAACUUGUGUAUAAUUAUGUGCCUUGGUCACCGUGCCUAAAAUUAUACACCUUACAUAAAGGAAUGAAGGGAGUAAAUUAUAAAUGGUUGACUAGAGAUGCUCUUGCUGUUUGUUAAUAAGAUGGCAUAUUGGGUAGUUUCAAAGGAACUCUGAGGGCAGGGGGUAUGGUGGGUGAAGUGGAGCAGGUGAAGGAACCAUUUCUCUGCUCCAGUAAAAUGAAAUAGAUGCUACUCCAGCUCCAAUCCACUAAGAAAUCAAUGUUGAGCUGUUUGAAACAACUCUACUGAAAUCAUGGAGUGGAGCUGUCCAAAACCUACCCUAAAUCCGACAAGAACCAACUAGAAGCAUAUCCUAUAUGUGAAGGUCGCCCGUGUUACUGGAUUGGUGGAUCUAGUUUGUUAAAUUGACUCAACGACUAGGGCUCCGUGGCACUAGUCCUUAAGGGUGCGUGCACGAAGACUUCUCGGUUGUACUCGAAAAGGUUAGGCCAGUCCGACAAGUGGCGGGUGAGCGGCAUGUUCUGGCGGUAGUGGCCGUUUGAUGGUCCAAGAACCUCUAUGUGAUGUUUAUUAUGUUUGAGAUGCUUUGUACUUUUGGUGAACUAUUUUAAAAAAAGACUCCGAAUUCAAUUGACUGUGAUAGACCUUCAUAAUCUAUUGCCCUUAAUGUUCAAAGUAUGGUUGGUAGAAUGGUAGAAACUUAUGUCUACUCGUAUAUUUCUAGUAGCUAGUCCAAAUAGAUGUUGGUUUAUCAAGGUUCCAUGAAAACAUGAUGCAAACACUGCACUAGGAUCAAUUUAUUUCUUCUAUCACCAAUUCAUCAUGAGCUAGCACACCAUAAAGACUUGGUAAAAAACUACAAAUACAAAGACACACAUAUGCGCGAGAUCUAUUAAGCAGCGACAGCGAUCUUCAUGCCUUGCUGGCAGUGACCCGGAAGGCUGCAGAUGAAGAACGCUUUGCCUCCGCGAGCGAGCUGGAUGUGGUCAUUGCCGGAGGUGUAGGUCCUCGACGGGCCCGAGACCCUGCAUGAGUUGUAGUCGCCUUCUCCCACCUGCACCACGUUGUGCAUACUAGGGUUGUACUUGAACACUGCGUGCAUUAGUUAACACAAGAAUACAUAUCAGAACAUAGUAUAUGCAUCAAGAACGACCAAUCACUUGAUCUUUAGAGUUCUCACCAAGCACGUCGCCGGACUGGAUGUGCUUGCCACUCUCCCAUCCAGAGACGCCGAAGCUCCAUCCCUUGUUGUCACCAACGGUCCACUCCUUGCCAUGGACGACGGUGGUUGCGCAGCAAACGGCCAGAAGCAACACCAAAAGGGUGGGUACGAUGGUUCCCCGUGCCAUCAUUAGUGUUGCUCUUGGCUUCUUGUCGCUACCGAAGAUCACAAGAACAACAAAAUGAAACAAUGGUCGGUUACUCAAGUGAUUGCUUGCAUUCGGUCUCCUCGUAUCACAUAUAUAGCCGGUCAGCAAAAAUCAUUGUUUUAAUGUGCUGAAAUAAUGAGAAUCUUGCUUUAAAUGAGACAAAUCAACAAUUGUGAUAUGCAACGUUACUUAGUAUAUGCUACCAAAUCCUCCAACUUAUAUAAUCCAAUCUAGUAUUAAUGGAAAUUAACAAGCAUGCAUUAUACUCUGAAGAUUUAGAAAAUAUUUCUUUUUCGUGGAUGCAUUAGUUGUAUAUCAUGUAUUUACAUAUACUAGUAUUAGAUGAUAUAUUUGUAAUAGGAAAAUUCUAAAAUAAAAACUUUUUUAAUUAGGACAAGUCCCUAAUCUUGACUUUUCGACCAUAGCUGCUAAAACAUGACCGGAGACCAUGAUUUGGGAUUGUCUAGUCACAAAUCAUCUGAAAUUGAUAGGAAUAUUGUCAAUAAAUGUAGUUCAAAUGAAUUUCACAAGUCAGAAAAUUUAAUGCAUUGGGUCAAUAUAAGUAUUUUAGACUAGGUUAAUUUGGAAUAAUUCAAAAAGAAAAGUGGCCAUGAUUGGUUAAUGAUGUAGUAAACUCGACGAGAUUUGGAAGGAACUAAUUGAGAGGAACAUUUGUGAGACUUACCAAGAACUUGUCGCCACUUGAGUCGACGAAGAUUAUGACCUCAAGGACCCCCCCNNNNNNNNNNNNNNNNNNNNNNNNNNNNNNNNNNNNNNNNNNNNNNNNNNNNNNNNNNNNNNNNNNNNNNNNNNNNNNNNNNNNNNNNNNNNNNNNNNNNNNNNNNNNNNNNNNNNNNNNNNNNNNNNNNNNNNNNNNNNNNNNNNNNNNNNNNNNNNNNNNNNNNNNNNNNNNNNNNNNNNNNNNNNNNNNNNNNNNNNNNNNNNNNNNNNNNNNNNNNNNNNNNNNNNNNNNNNNNNNNNNNNNNNNNNNNNNNNNNNNNNNNNNNNNNNGACAACUCCAGACCGACAAAAUUUGCCCUAAACUAACCAUCCUGGCACAAACAGGAAUGACAUGCACGAGAGGGGGUGGAGUUGUGCCCUCUCUACUUCGCUCACUAGACGAUCUAGUGGAGAAUAAGAGGAGGGUGUAACGGGGAGGCGAAGAGGGGAGGCAGGAGAGACAGAAGAGAAUCGAAGAAAGAGAGGAUUGUGAAUUUUCUUUUUUCUAUUUAGAAAGUAGCACUAGUCGUUAUGGUCUGUCACAUGGCCAUGUAUGUGCCUUUUGCAGUUCACCUUACUAUUACCAUUUUUUAUACAACAUAAUGUACAUAAUUCUGUAAAAAUGUUUGUAUUUGGAUCCUUUUUCUAUAGUAUAAACUAAUUAUCAUUUUUUAAAUGUAUGUGUGUGCACACACGUUUGUUCUGGUAAAAUUUACAAGUCUGAUAUACAAAUGUAGUAAGCAAACAAAAAAAGAAUUGUUUGUACACACACAAGGUCCUUGUUGUGGAGAUUGCUUUGGAGACCUCUUGAACAUCACUAGUAUCCCGUUGAGAUGAAUAGUAGAGUUCAACAUAAAAGGAAACAAUUGUGUUUAAGGGAUCAUUGGCCAUUGCAUGUUAUUACAUUUUAAAAUCAUGGUCACAUGUAAUUAGCUUAAACUGAAAUAGUGGCAACAAAGCACUAAACCAAAGUUUAACGAAUGAAUAUCCAAAUGUGUUUCGUCUGUCUUUUGCUUUUGACGCUUUGUUUUGCCUCAAAGUGUAUUUUAUUAGCAUGAGCAUUUUAUAAUAUAUACUGUCAAUAGAGUGCCUCUGCUGAAGAACUGAACUUAACAAUCGAGACUAUAUAGAAGAUAGAACAUCUCCUGUCGGGCGCGCCUAUAUCUCGCCUUCAGUGAGUCUGGCUGCGUACUCGCUGAAGGGCGAGCGAGCUGGGCCGGCCCACAAGCGUGGGAGGCCAUUCUUUUUUUUCUUCCUUUUUUUACAUUUUCUGUUUUCUUUUUUCUUUUUUUGUACUUCUGUUUAUACUGUAAAAUAUUCUAAAAAUAUAAAUUACGAAAAACAAUCUUCAUUUUUUUUGAAAAUAUUAAAAAAGUAUUUAAAAAUGUUGAACAGGUAUUAAAAAAUGUUGAAUAAGUAUUUGAAAAAAAUGUUGAUCAAGUAUUUGAAAACUGUUAAACAAGUAUUUGAAAAAUGUUGAGCAUGAAUGGAAAACAAGUUGAAUAAACAUUUGAAAUAUAUAGAAUAAGUUUUUGAUAAAUGUUGAUCAAGUAUUUGAAAAAAUAUUAAACAAAUAUUUGAAAAAAUGUUGAUAAUGUAUAUAAAAAUGUUGAACAAGUAUUUGGCAAAUGUUGAUCAACAAUUUGACAAAAUGUUGAUCNNNNNNNNNNNNNNNNNNNNNNNNNNNNNNNNNNNNNNNNNNNNNNNNNNNNNNNNNNNNNNNNNNNNNNNNNNNNNNNNNNNNNNNNNNNNNNNNNNNNNNNNNNNNNNNNNNNNNNNNNNNNNNNNNNNNNNNNNNNNNNNNNNNNNNNNNNNNNNNNNNNNNNNNNNNNNNNNNNNNNNNNNNNNNNNNNNNNNNNNNNNNNNNNNNNNNNNNNNNNNNNNNNNNNNNNNNNNNNNNNNNNNNNNNNNNNNNNNNNNNNNNNNNNNNNNNNNNNNNNNNNNNNNNNNNNNNNNNNNNNNNNNNNNNNNNNNNNNNNNNNNNNNNNNNNNNNNNNNNNNNNNNNNNNNGAAAAACCCUGGAGAAAAAAAAACAGUUGUAUGUAAAAUAAUGAAGAAACAAAAGCAAAAUAAUGAAACAAUGCAGAAGAGAAGAGAAAAGAAAAGAAAAGAUAGAAAACAAAAUGCAAAAAAGGAGAAAAUCGGCACGACUUGCUUCAAGUAGGCCAUGUCCUUUAUGUUAUUCCGAACUAUUGGGCAGGCACACUGGAUAAUCGCGCUUCCUAUGUUUGCGGCGAUCCCUGGUGCUCCCCUUUACCCUUCUAUUUUUCUUUAGACUCUGCACGAAAAUGGACUAGCCCAGUAAUGACCACAUCCAAGAAAACUUCGAUGCGAAACUCAGUCCGAGGACACGCUUAAUGCAAUAGAAUGUUGCAACCAAUUUCAAGACGCAAAGAAAUUCAGAGGUCGACUGAUUUUGGGGAGACAACAAGACGGUCAGAAAUGGGCCUAAUGCAUUUCGGUUAGCGCAACAAAUCAUUACCUGGGCCAGGCCCAUCCUGCUAGUACUAUGUUGAAGGUACAAACUAUUCCAUUUCCGUGUCUAAAAAAACUAUUCCAUUUUGUACAGAGUUCCAUGUUUCCAAAUAAAAAUAAAUGACACUGCAGUACUCUACUGAAGGGGUACCCUAUGCUAUGACAUCAUGUAAUAUUUAUCCUGUUGUCGAUCCUGGCGGUACAAAAGUCAUGCAUGAUUCACUCAGAGUUCUAGCGCACCCGCAAGUUCCACCCUAAAAUUGAAAAACUGCAUAGCACCUGAAAAUGAUUUCUUUGGUGGUGAUGAGCAUGCAAGUGCUUGAGUUCGUGUCUUUUUGGAUAGGGCUUGGUCCACGACAUAACACAUGUUAUGUUGUAUUUUUUUGGAUCAAACUUAAUCGACGUGGUAGUUUUUGGAUGAACUAUAUGCAUGUUUUAAUUUGAAUUAUUUGAUUGGAUGAACUAUAUGUAUGUUUAUGGUUGUUUUGUUGUGUACGUUGAAUUUAAAUCAUGCAAAUGAUUGAUGAAAUACCAUGCAAUUGUUUGAAAUGAAUGUUAAAAAAGGUGGAAGAAUAAGUCAAAAAGAUUUUAGGGAGUUAAAUAUAGGGUUUGGUUAGGUUUGGCACAACUUAACUCCUUAAAUAUGAAUGAGUUAAGUUUAGAAAGGCAUAUAAGGAGAUACUCCCUACGUUAAUUUUUAUAAGGUGUAUUUGUUUUUUUAAUAAAAUUCCACAAUGUAAGGUGCAUUUCUUCUAAUUCAUCAGAAAUUCCGUUUUCAGCCCUCUAGAAAAAAGGAUAGUAUCUCUCCCCUGAUUGCAUGUAUCUCUCCUUGUAAAAAAGAAAAGUAUCUCUCUCCCGAUUGCAUGUAUCUCUUAUUUUUCUAGCCUAAAUGAUUUACUUACCACUAAUCAAUGAUUUAGCCAAGGUUAUUUUUUUCUAACUUGUGUAUAAUUAUGUGCCUUGGCCACCGUGCCAAAAAUUAUACACCUUACAUAAAUGAUUGAAGGGAGUAAAUUAUAAGUGGUUGACUAGAGAUGCUCUUGGUGUUUGUUAAUAAGAUGGCAUAUUGGGUAGUUUCAAAGGAACUCCGAGGGCAGAGGGGUAUGGUGGGUGAAGUGGAGCAGGUGAAGCAACCAUUUCUCUGCUCCAGUAAAAUGAAAUAGAUGCUACUCCAGCUCUAAUCCACUAAGAAAUUGAAGUUGAGAUUUUGAAACAACUCUACUGAAAUCAUGGAGUGGAGCUGUCCAAAACCUACACUCAAUCCAACAAGAACCAACUAGGAGCAUAUCCUAUAUGAAGAUCGCCCGUGUUACUGGAUUGGUUGAUCUAGUUUGUUAAAUUGACUCGACGACUAGGGCUUUGGGGCACUAGUCCUUAAGGGUGCGUGCACGAAGACUUCUCAGGUGUAAUUGAAAAGGUUAGUCCGGCUCCGACAAGCGGCACGUGAGUGGCUCGUUCUGGCGGUAGUGGUCGUUUGAUGGUCCAAGAACCCCUAUGUAAUGUUUAUUAUGUUUGAAAUGCUUUGUACUUUUGGUGAACUAUUUUUAAAGAAGACUCCGAAUUCAAUUGACUGUGAUAGACCUUCAUAAUCGUUCACCCUUAAUGUUCAAAGUAUGGUUGGUAGCAUGGUAGAAACUUAUGUCUACUCGUAUAUUUCUAGUAGCUAGUCCAAAUAGAUGUUGGUUUAUCAAGGUUCCAUGAAAACAUGAUGCAAACACUGCACUAGGAUCAAUUUAUUUCUUCCAUCAACAAUUAAUCAUUGGCUAGCACACCAUAAAGACUUGGUAAAAAAGUACAAAUACAGAGACACGCAUAUGCGUGAGAUCUAUUAAGCAGUGACAGCUAUCUUCAUGCCUUGCUGGCAGUGACCCGGAAGGCUGCAGAUGAAGAACGCUUUGCCUCUGCGGGCGAGCUGGAUGUGGUCAUUGCCGGAGGUGUAGGUCCUCGACGGGCCCGAGACCCUGCAUGAGUUGUAGUCGCUUUCUCCCACCUGCACCACGUUGUGCAUAGGGUUGUACUUGAACACUGCGUGCAUUAGUUAACACAAGAAUACAUAUCAGAACAUAAUAUAUACAUUAAGAACAACCAAUCACCUGAUCUUUAGAGUUCUCACCAAGCACGUCCCCGGACUGGAUGUGCUUGCCACCCUCCCAUCCGGAGACACCGAAGCUCCAUCCCUUGUUGUCACCAACGGUCCACUCCUUGCCAUGGACGACGGUGGUUGCGCAGCAAACGACCAGAAGCGGCACCAAAAGGGUGGGUAUGAUGGUUCCCCGUGCCAUCGUUGGUGCUGCUCUUGACUUCUUGUCGCUACCGAAGAUUACAAGAACAACAAAAUGAAACAAUGGUCGGUUCUUCAAGUGAUUGCUUGCGUUUGGUCUCCUUCUCGUAUCAUAUAUAUAGCCAGUCAGCUAAAAUCGUUGUUUUAAUGUGCUCAAAUAAUGAGAAUCUUGCUUUAAAUGAGACAAAUAAAUAAUCGUGAUAUGCAAUGUUACUUAGUAUAUGCUACCAAAUCCUCCAACUUAUAUAAUCCGAUCUAGUAUUAAUGGAAAUUAACGAGAUGUAUUUAUUUUCCUGCUCUUAAGAUUUAGAAAAUAUUUCUUUUUCGUGGAUUCAUUAGUGGUAUAUCAGAUAUUUAUAUAUACUAGUAUUAGAUGAUAUAUUUGUAAUAGGAAAAUUCUAAAAUAAAAAAUAUUUUAAAUAAGGAGAAGUCCCUAAUCUAGAGUUUUCGACCAUAGCUGCUAAAGCUGUUGGGGAACCUUGCAUGGAAAACAAAAAAAAUUUACGCAUACGCAAGAUCUAUCCAUGGAGAUGCGUAGCUACGAGAGGGGGAGAGUAUCUUCAUACCCAUGAAGAUCGCUAAGAGAAAGCGUUUUUCAACGCGGUUGAUGUAGUCGUACACAUUCACGACCCAUCCCGAUCUGGUACCGAACGUAUGACACCUCCGCAUUCAGCACAUGUUUAGCUCGAUGACGUCCUUGCCUUCUCGAUCUAGGGCGUGGUGACGGUUGGUGAUGAAGAACAAUCUCCGUAGGGCUUUGCCAAGCACUACAGAAACUAGAUGGAGGAUAAACUAGAGGGGACAGGGUUGCCGACACACGGCUUGGUGAAAUGACUGAUGAAAUACCAUGCAAUUGUUUGAAAUGAAUGUUAAAAAGGAUAGAAGAAUUUGUCAAAAAAAUUUAGGGAGUUAAAUAUAGGGUUUGGUUAGGUUUGGCCACAAUUGAACUCCUUAAAUAUGAAGGAGUUAAGUUUAGAAAGGCAUAUAAGGAGAUACUCCCUAUGUUACUUUUUAUAAGGUGUGUUUGUUUUUUGAUAAAAUUCCACAAUGUAAGAUGCAUUUCUUCUAAUUCAUCCGAAAUUCCGUCUUCAACCCUCUAGAAAAAGGAUAGUAUCUUUCCCCUGAUUGCAUGUGUCUCUCCAUGUAAAAAAGGAAAGUAUCUCUCUCUCGAUUGCUUGUAUCUCUUAUUUUUCUAGCCUAAAUGAUUUACUUACCACUAAUCAAUGAUUUAGCCAAGGUUAAUUUUUUUCUAACUUGUGUAUAAUUAUGUGCCUUGGUCACCGUGCCUAAAAUUAUACACCUUACAUAGAGGAAUGAAGGGAGUAAUUAUAAAUGGUUGACUAGAGAUGCUCUUGGUGUUUGUUAAUAAGAUGGCAUAUUGGGUAGUUUCAAAGGAACUCUGAGGGCAGGGGGUAUGGUUCGUGAAGUGGAGCAGGUGAAGGAACCAUUUCUCUGCUCCAGUAAAAUAAAAUAGAUGCUACUCCAGCUCCAAUCCACUAAGAAAUCAAUGUUGAGCUGUUUGAAACAACUCUACUGAAAUCAUGGAGUGGAGCUGUCCAAAACCUACCCUAAAUCCGACAAGAACCAACUAGAAGCAUAUCCUAUAUGUGAAGGUCGCCCGUGUUACUGGAUUGGUGGAUCUAGUUUGUUAAAUUGACUCAACGACUAGGGCUCCGUGGCACUAGUCCUUAAGGGUGCGUGCACGAAGACUUCUCGGUUGUACUCGAAAAGGUUAGGCCAGUCCGACAAGCGGCAGGUGAGCGGCAUGUUCUGGCGGUAGUGACCGUUUGAUGGUCCAAGAACCUCUAUGUGAUGUUUAUUAUGUUUGAGAUGCUUUGAAAUUUUGGUGAACUAUUUUAAAAAAAGACUCCGAAUUCAAUUGACUGUGAUAGACCUUCAUAAUCUAUUGCCCUUAAUGUUCAAAGUAUGGUUGGUAGAAUGGUAGAAACUUAUGUCUACUCGUAUAUUUCUAGUAGCUAGUCCAAAUAGAUGUUGAUUUAUCAAGGUUCCACGAAAACAUGAUGCAAACACUGCACUAGGAUCAAUUUAUUUCUUCUAUGAUCAAUUCAUCAUGGGCUAGCACACCAUAAAGACUUGGUAAAAAACUACAAAUACAGAGACACACAUAUGCGCGAGAUCUAUUAAGCAGCGACAGCGAUCUUCAUGCCUUGCUGGCAGUGACCCGGAAGGCUGCAGAUGAAGAACGCUUUGCCUCCGUGGGCGAGCUGGAUGUGGUCAUUGCCGGAGGUGUAGGUCCUCGACGGGCCCGAGACCCUGCAUGAGUUGUAGUCGCCUUCUCCCACCUGCACCACGUUGUGCAUACUAGGGUUGUACUUGAACACUGCAUGCAUUAGUUAACACAAGAAUACAUAUCAGAACAUAGUAUAUGCAUCAAGAACGACCAAUCACUUGAUCUUUAGAGUUUUCGCCAAGCACGUCGCCGGACUGGAUGUGCUUGCCACUCUCCCUUCCGGAGACGCCGAAGCUCCAUCCCUUGUUGUCACCAACGGUCCACUCCUUGCCAUGGACGACGGUGGUUGCGCAACAAACGGCCAGAAGCAACACCAAAAGGGUGGGUACGAUGGUUCCCCGUGCCAUCGUUAGUGUUGCUCUUGGCUUCUUGUCGCUACCGAAGAUCACAAGAACAACAAAAUGAAACAAUGGUCGGUUACUCAAGUGAUUGCUUGCAUUCGGUCUCCUCGUAUCACAUAUAUAGCCGGUCAGCAAAAAUCAUUGUUUUAAUGUGCUGAAAUAAUGAGAAUCUUGCUUUAAAUGAGACAAAUCAACAAUUGUGAUAUGCAACGUUACUUACUAUAUGCUACCAAAUCCUCCAACUUAUAUAAUCCGAUCUAGUAUUAAUGGAAAUUAACAAGCAUGCAUUAAUUUUCCUACUCUGAAGAUUUAGAAAAUAUUUCUUUUUCAUGGAUGCAUUAGUUGUAUAUCAUGUAUUUACAUAUACUAGUAUUAGAUGAUAUAUUUGUAAGAGGAAAAUUCUGAAAUAAAAACUUUUUUAAUUAGGACAAUUCCCUAAUCUUGACUUUUCGACCAUAGCUGCUAAAGCAUGAUCAGAGACCUUGAUUUGGGAUUGUCUAGUCACAAAUCAUCUGAAAUUGAUAGGAAUAUUUUCAAUAAUUGUAGUUCAAAUGAAUUUCACAAGUCAGAAAAUUUAAUGCAUUGGGUCAAUAUAAGAAUUUUAGACUAGGUUAAUUUGGAAUUAUUCAAAAAGAAAAGUGGCCAUGAUUGGUCAACGAUGUAGUAAACUCGACGAGAUUCGGAAGGAACUAAUUGAGAGGAACAUUUGUGAGACUUACCAAGGACUUGUCGCCACUUGAGUCGACGAAGAUUAUGACCUCAAGGACGCCCCCCCGGAAAACUCCGCGACAACUCCAGACCAACAAAAUUUGCUCUAAACUAGCCAUCCUGGCACAAACAGGAAUGACAUGCACGAGAGGGGGUGGAGUUGUGCCCUGUGUACUUCGCUCACUAGACGAUCUAGUGGAGAAUAAGAGGAGGGCAUAACGGGGAGGCGAAGAGGGGAGGCAGGAGAGACAGAAGAUAGUCGAAGAAUGAGAGGAUUGUGAAUUUUCUUUUUCCUAUUUAGAAAGUAGCACUAGUCGUUAUGGUGUGUCACAUGGCCAUGUAUGUGCUUUUUGCAGUUCACCUUACUAUUACCAUUUUUUAUAAAACAUAAUGUACACAAUUCCGUAAAAAUGUUUGUAUUUGGAUACUUUUUCUAUAUAAAAACCAUUGAUGGUGUCGUAUAAGCUAAUUUUCAUUUUUGAAAUGUAUGUGUGUGCACACACGUUUGUUCUGGUAAAAUUUACAAGUCUGAUAUACAAAUGUAGUAAGCAAAUAAAAAAAAGAAUUGUUUGUACACACACAAGGUCCUUGUUGUGGAGAUUGCUUUGGAGACCUCUUGAACAUCACUAGUGUCCCGUUGAGAUGAAUAGUAGAGUUCAACAUAAAAGGAAACAAUUGUGUUUAAGGGAUCAUUGGCCAUUGCAUGUUAUUACAUUUUAAAAUCAUGGUCACAUGUAAUUAGCUUAAACUGAAAUAGUGGCAACAAAGCACUAAACCAAAGUUUAAUGAAUGAAUAUCCAAGUGUGUAUCGUCUGUCCUUUGCUUUUGACGCUUUGUUUUGCCUCAAAGUGUAUUUGAAUUAGCAUGGGCAUUUUAUAAUAUAUACUGUCAGUAGAGUGCCUCUGCUGAAGAACUGAACUUAACAAUCGAGACUAUAUAGAAGAUAGAAUAUCUCCCGUCGGGCGCGCCUAUAUCUCGCCUUCAGUGAGUCUCGCUGCGGACUCGCUGAAGGGCGAGCGAGCUGGGCCGGCCCACAAGCACCGGAGGCCAUUCUUUUUUUCCUUUUUUACAUUUUCUGUUUUCUUUUUUUUCUUUUGUACUUCUGUUUAUACUGUACAAUAUUAUAAAAAAUAUAUUACGAAAAACAAUCUUCAUUUUUUUUUGAAUAUAUUUAACAACUAUUUAAAAAUGUUGAACAAGUAUUAAAAACAUGUUGAAUAAGUAUUUGAAAAAAAUGUUGAUCAAGUAUUUGAAAACUGUUGAACAAGUAUUUGAAAAAUGUUGAGCAUGAAUGGAAAACAAGUUGAACAAACAUUUGAAAUAUAUAGAAUAAGUAUUUAAAAAAUGUUGAUCAAGUAUUUGAAAACAUAUUAAACAAAUAUUUGAAAAAAUGUUGAUAAUGUAUAUAAAAAAUGUUGAACAGCAAUUUGAGAAAAUGUUGAUCAUGUAUAUAAAAAUGUAGAAUGAAAAACACAAAGAAACAAAAGGAAAUCCGAAAAAAUGAAAACAGAAAAAUAAACAAAAUAAACCAAAGAAAAAGGAAAAUGAAAAGAAAACUAAAGAAACAAAUGAAAAAACCGGAGAAAAAAAUAGUUUUAUGUAAAAUAAUGAAGAAACAAAAGCAAAAUAAUGAAAAAAAUGGAGAAGAGAAAAGAAAAGAAAAGAAAAGAAAAGAAAGAAAACAAAAUGAAAAAAAGGAGAAAAUCGGCACGACUUGCUUCAUGUAGGCCAUGUCCUUUAUGUUAUUCCGAACUAUUGGGCAGGCACAUUGGAUAGUCGCGCUUCAUAUGUUCGCGGCGAUCCCUGGUGCUCCCCUUUUCCCUUCUAUUUUUCUUUAGACUCUGCGCGAAAAUGGACUACCCCAGUAAUGACCACAUCCAAGAAAACUUCGAUGCAAAACUUAGUCCGAGGACACGCUUAAUGCAAUAGAAUGUUGCAACCAAUUUCAAGAUGCAAAGAAAUUCAGAGGUCGACUGAUUUUGGGGAGACAACAAGACGGUCAGAAAUGGGCCUAAUGCAUUUCGGUUAGCGCAACAAAUCAUUACCUGGGCCAGGCCCAUCCUGCUAGUACUCUGUUGAAGGUACAAACUAUUCCAUUUCUGUGUCUAGAAAAACUAUUCCAUUUUCUACAGAGUUCCAUGUUUCCAAAUAAAAAUAAAUGACACUACAGUACUCUACUAAAGGGGUACCCUAUGCUAUGGCAUCAUGUAAUAUUUAUCCUGUUGUCGAUCCUGGCGGUACAGAAGUCAUGCAUGAUUCACUCAGAGUUCUAGCGCACCCGCAAGUUCCACCCGAAAAUUGAAAAACUACAUAGCACCCAAAAAUGAUUUCUUUGGUGGUGAUGAGCAUGCAAGUGCUUGAGUUCGUGUUUUUCUGGAUAGGGCUUGGUCCACGACAUAACGCAUGUUAUGUUGUAUUUUUUUGGAUCAAACUUAAUCGAUGUGGUAGUUUCUGGAUGAACUAUAUGCAUGUUUUAAUUUGAAUUAUUUGAUUGGAUGAACUAUAUGUAUGUUUAUGGUUGUUUUGUUGUGUACGUUGAAUUUAAAUCAUGCAAAUGAUUGAUGAAAUAUCAUGCAAUUGUUUGAAAUGAAUGUUAAAAAAGGUGGAAUAGUAAGUCAAAAAGAUUUUAGGGAGUUAAAUAUAGGGUUUGGUUGCACAACUUAACUCCUUAAAUAUGAAGGAGUUAAGUUUAGAAAGGCAUAUAUGGAGAUACUCCCUACGUUUAAUUUUUAUAAGGUGUAUUUGUUUUUUUAUAAAAUUCCACAAUGUAAGGUGCAUUUCUUUUAAUUCAUCAGAAAUUCUGUCUUCAGCCCUCUAGAAAAAAGGAUAGUAUCUCUCCCCUGAUUGCAUGUAUCUCUCUUUGUAAAAAAAGGAAAGUAUCUCUCUCCCGAUUGCGUGUAUCUCUUAUUUUUGUAGCCUAAAUGAUUUACUUACCACUAAUCAAUGAUUUAGCCAAGGUUAUUUUUUUCUAACUUGUGUAUAAUUAUGUGCCUUGGUCACCGUGCCAAAAAUUAUACACCUUACGUAAAUGAUUGAAGGGAGUAAAUUAUAAGUGGUUGACUAGAGAUGCUCUUGGUGUUUGUUAAUAAUAUGGCAUAUUGGGUAGUUUCAAAGGAACUCCGAGGGUAGAGGGGUAUGGUGGAUGAAGUGGAGCAGGUGAAGCAACCAUUUCUCUGCUCCAGUAAAAUGAAAUAGAUGCUACUCCAGCUCUAAUCCACUAAGAAAAUGAAGUUGAGCUGUUUGAAACAACUCUACUGAAAUCAUGGAGUGGAGUUGUCCAAAACCUACACUCAAUCCGACAAGAACCAACUAGGAGCAUAUCCUAUAUGAAGAUCGCCCGUGUUACUAGAUUGGUGGAUCUAGUUUGUUAAAUUGACUCGACGACUAGGGCUUCGGGGCACUAGUCCUUAAGGGUGCGUGCAUGAAGACUUCUCGGGUGUAAUUGAAAAGGUUUGUCCGGCUCCGACAAGUGGCGCGUGAGCGGCUCAUUCUGGCGGUAGUGGUCGUUUCAUGGUCCAAGAACCCCUAUGUAAUGUUUAUUAUGUUUGAAAUGCUUUGUACUUUUGGUGAACUAUUUUUAAAGAAGACUCCGAAUUCAAUUGACUGUGAUAGACCUUCAUAAUCAUUCGCCCUUAAUGUUCAAAGUAUGGUUGGUAGAAUGGUAGAAACUUAUGUCUACUCGUAUAUUUAUAGUAGCUAGUCCAAAUAGAUGUUGGUUUAUCAAGGUUCCAUGAAAACAUGAUGCAAAUACUGCACUAGGAUCAAUUUAUUUCUUCCAUCAGCAAUUCAUCAUUGGCUAGCACACCAUAAAGACUUGGUAAAAAGUACAAAUACAGAGACAUGCAUAUGCGCGAGAUCUAUUAAGCAGUGACAACUAUCUUCAUGCCUUGCUGGCAGUGACCCGGAAGGCUGCAGAUGAAGAACGCUUUGCCUCCGUGGGCGAGCUGGAUGUGGUCAUUGCCGGAGGUGUAGGUCCUCGACGGGCCCGAGACCCUGCAUGAGUUGUAGUCGCCUUCUCCCACCUGCACCACGUUGUGCAUACUAGGGUUGUACUUGAACACUGCGUGCAUUAGUUAACACAAGAAUACAGAUCAGAACACAGUAUAUACAUUAAGAACAACCAAUCAC
rnacentral:lncRNA from 1 species